AUACAAUGGAGAGUUUGAUCCUGGCUCAGGAUGAACGCUAGCGGGAGGCCUAACACAUGCAAGCUGAGCGGUAGAGUUCCUUCGGGGACUUGAGAGCGGC
rnacentral:rRNA from 1 species